UGGGGGAAUAUUGCACAAUGGGCGCAAGCCUGAUGCAGCAACGCCGCGUGGAGGAAGACGGUUUUCGGAUUGUAAACUCCUGUUCUUAGUGAAGAAAAUGACGGUAGCUAAGGAGCAAGCCACGGCUAACUACGUGCCAGCAGCCGCGGUAAUACGUAGGUGGCAAGCGUUGUCCGGAAUUACUGGGUGUAAAGGGAGCGCAGGCGGGGGAGCAAGUCAGCUGUGAAAUCUAUGGGCUUAACUCAUAAACUGCAGUUGAAACUGUUCUUCCUGAGUGAAGUAGAGGUUGGCGGAAUUCCGAGUGUAGCGGUGAAAUG
rnacentral:rRNA from 1 species